AGUGAACGCUGGCGGUAGGCCUAACACAUGCAAGUCGAACGGCAGCACAGUAAGAGCUUGCUCUUACGGGUGGCGAGUGGCGGACGGGUGAGGAAUACAUCGGAAUCUACUUUUUCGUGGGGGAUAACGUAGGGAAACUUACGCUAAUACCGCAUACGACCUACGGGUGAAAGCAGGGGAUCUUCGGACCUUGCGCGAUUGAAUGAGCCGAUGUCGGAUUAGCUAGUUGGCGGGGUAAAAGCCCACCAAGGCGACGAUCCGUAGCUGGUCUGAGAGGAUGAUCAGCCACACUGGAACUGAGACACGGUCCAGACUCCUACGGGAGGCAGCAGUGGGGAAUAUUGGACAAUGGGCGCAAGCCUGAUCCAGCCAUACCGUGUGGGUGAAGAAGGCCUUCGGGUUGUAAAGCCCUUUUGUUGGGAAAGAAAAGCAGCAGGUUAAUACCCCGCUGUUCUGACGGUACCCAAAGAAUAAGCACCGGCUAACUUCGUG
rnacentral:rRNA from 1 species